AACAGGUGUGACAGCAGUGUGUUAGCAUCUGAACAAAGUGCUGUAGAUCCUCAGUGUUGUGCACGUUGUGGUUAAAGUUCUG